rnacentral:rRNA from 1 species
UACGUAGGGGGCUAGCGUUGUCCGGAUUUAUUGGGCGUGAAGAGCUCGUAGGCGGUCUGUUGCGUCUGCUGUGAAAACCCGGGGCUUAACCCCUGGCUUGCAGUGGAUACGGACAGACUAGAGGUAGGUAGGGGAGAAUGGAAUUCCCGGUGUAGCGGUGAAAUGCGCAGAUAUCGGGAGGAACACCGGUGGCGAAGGCGGUUCUCUGGGCCUUACCUGACGCUGAGGAGCGAAAGCGUGGGGAGCGAACAGG